GCUUAGUCAUUCAAGAAGUCGAAGUCAAUUGGUUGGCUUCUUAUUGGAGGAUAGGUUACUUGUGGCCUCUCGGUUGCUGCAUUUUCAGUUGGCUUCACUGUUGUUGUUGUUGUAGUAGUUUCAGGUGGCGGUGGUGGCGGCACUGUUUGGCUGUUAUCCUCUGUUGCUACAGCUGUUUCUGUUUUUACAGUUGAAUCCGGAUCGCUUUUGUCUUCCACAGACGUUACCUCCUUUUCUGGCGCAGGAGGCUCAGACACUGUCUCUGUCACUGGCCCGUCUACAUGUGCUGCUGACUCUGCAACAGCUGCAGUUUCCGGUGCAGCUGACUCCGCAACAGCUGCAGUUUCUGGAGCAGCUGACGCAGCAGCAGACACAGUUUCAGGUGCUGCUGACUCAGCAGCUGCAGUUUCCGGGGCUGCUGACUCAGAAUCAGCUGCAGUUUCCGGGGCAGCUGACUCAGAAUCAGCUGCAUUUUCCGGGGCAGCUGACUCAGGAUCAGUUGCAGUUUCAGGCGCUGACUCGGUCUGUGGUGUCUCUUCAGAAGAUGGAGGAGGAGCUUCAAUAGCCAAUGGCUUAGCUGGUUCUUCAAUAGCCAAUGGCUUAGUUGGCUCUGGCUGUGGAGUCUUCAUUGUGGGGAGAGGUUUCUUGGGCGCAGAAAUGGAAGCAAAGAUCGAAGACAUUCCAGGAGGUAGAAUCUCUAUCGGAGGCUUUUUAGAUGCAUCAGACAGACUCGUGAGCUUUGGAUCCUCAAGAGAAGCCAAAAACGCACUUGCCGCAUCGGUUUUAGUAGAUGAAACUUGCUCAACUUCCUUCUGCAGCGUUUUAUUCCAAGCCUGGACCAAGUUCUUUAGACUAGGACGACCAUGUGCCUGUGUGAUAGAUAAUCAGAAACAAUAAAAGGUUCAUAAAAAAAAAGCAAACUCUAAGAUUGGUGAAACUGUAAUCUUACAUGAGCAUGAAGUACAGCUUCUGCGAGCAUUCCUGUGUCUUGCCACGUCUUCUCCAUAAGCGCAUUGUCUCCCAGAACUGCAGCAGAAAAUGCUGACUCUCUCCCUAGGCCUAUGGAGAUCAGAUUGUUUAUCAGACCCUGCAACAAAGUUAAAAUAGCCUUUCAAUUAGAAACCUGAAAGAUACAAAGUAUAAUAUUCCAAAAUUUUAACUUCGAAAACCACCUAUUAUAGGCUGGAUUCGGUUAGAUUAGUUCAACAUAAAUCGUACCGGAAUGAUCCGAAAUAUUGAUCCAGUUAGGUAUUCGAUUAGUUCAGCUUUUGAAAAUCUAGCUGAAUUUUUUUUCCGGUUAAUUUCAGUUAAAUUUGGUUAAUUCGGUUAGUUCGGGUUUUUGUAUGAUUUAAGAUAAAUUCUUUUUAAGAAGAAAACCGAAAUAACCUAUUGCCAAACCUAAAACCGAUUAUUUUUAAAAAACCUACCGAAUCGAACCAAAAUUUCGGUUCGGUUCGGUCUAAAACCCCAUGCCUAACCUAUUAUGUCUACAAUAAUAACCAAAUUAGAGGCGGAAAGAAAGAGAAGUGGCGGACAUACACUUAAGCGUGUCAAUUCUCCAUGGUUAGCUAGGCGUAACGAAAGGCCUCGUAACUCAUGACCCUGUAAAGCGCCUUUGACGGAACCUGCAGUAGCCAGUCUUUUGAGAGCUUCACGAGCAACGUCGGCGUUCCCAGUGGCAUCUGCAGCAUCUAUAAGGUCGAGAAACUCCUUUGCGAAUUUCACUAUUCCCUCCACCGCUUCAACAACGUCUUCUUUCUUCUCAGCUGUCAAAGAGAGAAUGUCACUCAAAUCAAGGCCUAGACCGUCCUGUCCAAUGUCCCUGCUAUUGCUCAUUGUGAGGAGACAAUGAAGAGCCCUCUUCAGAUCAUUGCUCUGCAUCGCUAGAUCAAACUCCAGCCUGAGAACACAUAAAAGACUGAGAAUAGUAGGAGCAGCUUGAAGGAACUUGCUGCACCAAACAUAAUAUGGUUUUUUUACCUCUUUGAUAUUCCAGGCAAAUGAAGAGCUUCUGUAGCAUAUCCCAUUCCUAGCAUGAACUGUGCCAGAUCGUCAUGAUGUUCUCUCCCAAGCCUACUUGCCCUGCGCAACAAACAAAAAAAAGUUGAGGUAGGUUCCAGCUAGAUUUGCGUAAACGGGUUUACUGAGAAAUGUAUCAAUACCAUUUAACAGCACUAAUAGCAUCCCCAUACGCAGCAAGACAUCGACAGCGGAUACCAGGAUGGUUCAGUGAUAUGGCAUGUGCACACAUGUACCUACCAAAAAAGUGGAAGUUGUCUCAGUAGUUCAAUCUUUAUAUGAUCAUUCAAGUGACUGAGAUGACUAUCAUGGCAAGAUAUUGUAACUCUGUGACUAAAUGUAUUUGUUGUAAAGAGUCAGUAUUGCUUUAAGGUAAGAACAUAGACUUGAUACCUGUCAAUGAGCCAAAGAACACCAUCCCGUACGCCAGCAACAACAAGAGGCCCUACUGGUCGUUUUUGCUCCACUGGGAAACGAGUAACAGCAACUGAGACUCCCCCACCACCUACAGCUACCUCACUGGCCCUUCUUUCGUCCAUGUCAUCGCCAUCACCUCUGGAUUGUCUCGGCAGUGAUAAAAAUGGUGGAACAGAUGGAGCAUUUUGGAAAGAAGCUAGACGCACCACCUACAAUAAAAAAAGGAUACGCAUGAGUGCAAAAGACACAAGCUUAGACCUGAAAAAUUGAGCUUCAAAAAUCAAUUAUAUUUAUCUCAUAAAAUAGCAAGAAAUGUCCACCUGCAGCAAGGGGGCCCUCAAAGAUAUCUUUUCUUGCUUGGAACUCUGGGCACCUUCUACUGUGAUUAAGGCUAAUUCUCCAUGCUCCGCAACUGCUCUAGCCUGUGCCUCCUUAAGUUUCAUUUCUUCCUUCAUCUUCCUAGUCUCUAUAUCAAUUUCAGUAACUCCCGCGUCCACAAAAACACAUCUGGAAAUCCAGGCAUGGAAGAAAGUAUUAGCAUUCAAGCCUCAGAGUAACUGAUUCAAAACAGAGAGAAGCCCUUGGAUCAUAUGUAUAACGCCUAAUCUUACUCAAUCGUGGUUUGUGUAGCCACAAACAGCUGCCUGCGGUGCCAAACAGCUCCAGUAGCAUGUGAGAUGGCAACAUUACCAAGAUAUCUAUACUGAGGGCGCAAGGACGAUAUGACCAUGUAUUGUUGAUAAGCAAAAGCACAAUACUCAACUGUUUUGUCCCAUGCCGUCCACUCUGGCUGAGGUAGCAUCCCACCUACUGGCUCAAAAUUUUCCCAACUACACAGUGAAACUUCUAUGAGGACUUAUAUGGAACUGAGAUACUUUAACAUUAAUGCCAUCACCUGAAAGAGGAAACCAAAAUGGAACCACUAAUCACCUGUAGAGCUGGUAGUUUAGCGGUGCGGACUCGGUAGAUCUCUGUGAAGAACCAUCAUCAUAGCUAGAAAACGAAGAAACAUUACUGUUUCCAAAUCCUGAAAGUGGCAUCGACUGAAUGGUUGAAAUAGCUGUUGCAGAAACAGGACUAAUUCUUCGGGACGUGCGAUAGCCUAUUCCAAGUAGAGCGCCGCCAUGCAGACCAAUGACCUGCAAGGAGAAAUUUAAGCAUAAGACUAUUGCUUACUACGCCUAGAAGUCAAGCACUUCAACAGAUCUGCUCAGAGGAUCUGAGACAAGUGAAAAAAUGAUGAAUUAAAUAUGAAAGAUGGCUAUUUUAGGAAACUAAUCCCUAGCUAAGACUAGAACACAUGGAAUGCAAUACCUCCAGUAAAAGACACAUACCGGUUCAGAGCGACCUCCUACAGAUCUCAUGAGGAUGUUUGAGGUUCCAUCAUCUAAGAGAAUACGAACUUGGACACUAGCUGAUGAAGCUGCAUUAGCAGCGGCAGCAGCUUGCGCCGCGGCUGCAGCCGCUUCUUUCGCCUUUCUUGAUGAACCACCCUUUGGGAAAGAGGAGGAGGUUGAGAAGAAUGGGGAAGAGAGACUUAUCGCCAAUCGGACAACUACAAGACAAUUCAACUUAAUCUAUACUUCUGGACGAUUCAGAGGGUUCAGUUUUAUCGUAAUGGGCCAAAUAUGGGCUUUCAAAUGUAUUUUGAUUUCCGAUUCGAACUUGGUUAUUGGGUUACGCUUCACUAUACGUAACUCGAGAGAUUUUUUUUUAAUAUAAAAAAGUUAUAAAAAAAAUUCGAACAGUAAUAUAAAAAAAUAAUAAUACAAACAAUUAAUGAAAAUAAAUCAGAAAACAAAAAAUGACACACUACAAAAAUAAAACUAAUCCCUAGUGCAAUACAAAAAAUGACACAUUACAAAAAAUGAAACUAACCAUUUAAUGUUAUGUGAUGUAAUGCAAUGAAAACAAAUCAGAAAACAAAAGAGGACACAAUAAAAAAUGAAACUGAUGCCAAAUGGAACUAAAAUUAAACAAACAAGCAUCUUCCUCUCCCUGUAGUCAAUGACUCAAUGUGACCACAUAGUUUGAUCAAUGAAUAAUAUAUCUAAAAGAUAUACAGUCUCGUUGUGUUUUAUUUUCGGGAUUAUUCUGUGAGUGUUCAAAAAAAAAAAAAAAAAAAAAAAGGGAUUAUUCUGUGCAAAAACUUGGCUUAGUCAUUCAAGAAGUCGAAGUCAAUUGGUUGGCUUCUUAUUGGAGGAUAGGUUACUUGUGGCCUCUCGGUUGCUGCAUUUUCAGUUGGCUUCACUGUUGUUGUUGUUGUAGUAGUUUCAGGUGGCGGUGGUGGCGGCACUGUUUGGCUGUUAUCCUCUGUUGCUACAGCUGUUUCUGUUUUUACAGUUGAAUCCGGAUCGCUUUUGUCUUCCACAGACGUUACCUCCUUUUCUGGCGCA
rnacentral:lncRNA from 1 species